CUAGGAGUUAGAGUCUCCUUACCGUUUGGAACGGUAUCUGCGCUUUUUUGGUCAGCAGAAGUUGGACUUUGGGCGUGUAACUUUAACUUAAAACUUCAGGGUAAGCCUUGGCUGUGUAAUGCCAAAAAUAGAGCUUCAGGCAAAGUUUGGGUUGGUUGACGCUUUUAAAUUGUGUUAGGGAUUUUAGAGAUGAGGCCAGAAACAGUUAAAGUCUUGAUACUGGUGAAUUGGUCGCAAAAAACUCAGGGAGUUUAUCCGCUGGGCGGUUAUUUAAAAUUUGUCUAAAUUGUGUAGGCGCUAAAGCUGACAGAUCUGACAGUGGUUGUAAAUAUAAGACGUCGUUGUAAUAUAGAAUAAGAAAAUUUGGUGUGAGAGAUCUCUGUGUGUCGAGUCAGUAAUGCACUGACUGCCUGCUGCUAUUUUUAGACGGUGUGUGUGAGUGUGAAAAUGCAAAUGAGUAAGCAGUGAACUGUUUAAGCCACAGUUGGUUUUACAAAUACUGCUGCAAACAUUGUUGAGUGUGUGUUUAAAAUGCCAUUUAUGUUUAUUAGAGGACUACAAAUAAAGUUUUGAGUUGCCGUAGGGGAUGUAUAGUAAUUGACUGAAGUUGGAUGUAGAUAUAUAAAUAUAUUGAGUGCACUGUGUAUACUUAAGAUUAACAUAUUACUUUCAGUAGUAACUUCUCUCCAGCAAUAGUUGCUGGUGUGUUUUAUUUUUUCAAUUUCUUGUGUGAAUGCGGUGACUAGAAGGUUUUGAAUGAUGAAUAAAGGUGUGAGAGGUAUUUCUUUGGUGAUGUAAAGUAGGAUGUUUUAAAGUUUGAAAGUGUUUUUAAUUUAAGAGAUGCAUGAGUGAUGUUAUAAGAGUUUAGUUUAUUUAAAAGGUGUGUGUGAGAGGAUUAUGAAAUCAUUGUGUGAAUGAUGCUACAUUUUAGAUCAAAAGUUAGUAGAAUUACAGAGGGUUUGUAGAUUGUAAAUACAAAAUAAGUUUGAUUAGCCUGGAGAAACAGCAGAGCAGCUGCGUGCUGUGUGUGUGUAACAGGAAAUGGUGUGGGUGACAGGAAGUUUGCAUGCCCAUAUAAGGUGACGAGUGAGCAC
ensembl:lncRNA